UGAUCAACUGGAAAAAAGAAAUGCACCUAGUCUGAGCUACAAGGACGACACAAACCUGGCAGACGCCCCCUGCGCUCCCUCCUGCCCUGCUUUAUGCCCACCUGCAUGCCCAUCUGCAGAAGAAGCCCGCCAGUUGUUCUGUUUGUGUGCCAGGGUGAAUCAAACCCAUCCACGUCGUUCCCAGGUGUGCGUCUGGCUGCGCCCCCUCUCCAUCCGUCGUACAGAUGACAAUCCCCUGUGACCAUGUGCCACAUUAGGCAUCCUUGAGAUCCCUGAACAAAGAUGCUCUUUAGGCCUUGUGUUAAAGCCGUGGCCAGAGGGAGAUAAUAAAGACGAAGCUAUUUAAUGAGACUGGUAAUGGGCAGGAUCUCUGCAGUGGAUCGUUCCAGUCUGAAGACCCAGCUGUCCUGACGGACCGUCUGACCCUGCCCAGCGCUCCAGCUUUGAAACCGAGCGACGGAAGGAGGGGAUUACAGCUCGAAACAGGAUCCGGGCUGCUCCGAGUGCUGCUUGACCUUGGGUAAUGUCAAACUUUAUGAACUGUGCCGAAGUUAAAGUCUUUACCAACUCUGAUGCCUCUCGAAUUCAGUGUCUUUAAGAAAUGAGGAGAUGGAGACAAAUUAGCUGUAGUUUCUGAAGCUGAAACUUUUAAAAUGUCAUAAAUGUGCACUUAUUGAACGUGACAUUGAUUAGCCCGAGGAGCAAUGGAGAAAGAUGACGGACUGUUUUAUUAAUUAUGCAAUUUUAUGACAUUCAAAAUUACAUUGAUAUAAAGGUGGAAUUUAUUCGAUUGAAUGGAUAACAUUUCGUUUUAUUUAUGAUGGUGGAUAUAAAUCAUCUAAAUAAACAUCCAUAUUUUUUUAUUAAUUUUCAGGAGCAUGCAGAUGGUUGGUAGGGAGCAUUUAAUUUCUCAUAAUAACUGGAGGCACAGUUUUACUGAUAGAGUAUUAUUUUGCAAAGUCUGCUCAUUAUAAGUUAGGUGUAGUUUUUUUAUCUUUAAGCUAUGAAUGUUGCACAAUAUUAAACUAAAU